UUAAUGUAUGACCCUGUUAACUUUUUGACAAACGUUUGACCUUUCGUCUUAUUCAAAAACUUUAUGUAAUUAUAAUUUAUUUUGUUGUGACUUGAUUUAUCAUCAAAUGUUCUUUAAGCAUGACAUAAGUAUUUUUAUAUUUGCAUAAAAUUUUUGAAUAAGACGAGUGGUCAAACGUUGGUUAAAAAGUCAACGGCGUCAUACAUU
rfam:Oryza glumipatula chromosome 7, whole genome shotgun sequence.